UUUGACCGUGCAAAGGUAGCGCAAUCACUUGUCUUUUAAAUGAAGACCUGUAUGAAUGGCACGACGAGGGCUUAACUGUCUCCCCUUUUUAGUCAAUGAAAUUGAUUUCCCCGUGCAGAAGCGGGGAUAAAAGCAUAAGACGAGAAGACCCUGUGGAGCUUUAGACGCCAAGGUACACCGUGUCAAGCAACCUCAAUUAAUAGCUAGAACUAAUCGGAACCUAUCUUAUUGUCUUUGGUUGGGGCGACCGCGGGGUAAUAUUUAACCCCCACGUAGAAAGGGGGGACUUCUCCCCCACAAGUAAGAGCCGCAGCUCUAUCUACCAGCACAGCUGACUAAAAAUGAUCCGGUAUUACCGAUCAACGGACCGAGUUACCCCAGGGAUAACAGCGCAAUCCUCUUUAAGAGCCCAUAUCGACAAGGGGGUUUACGACCUCGAUGUUGGAUCAGGACAUCCUAAUGGUGCAGCCGCUAUUAAGGGUUCGUUUGUUCAACGAUUAAAGUCCUACGUGAUCUGAGUUCAGACCGG
rnacentral:rRNA from 1 species